AUGAGUGAUAACCCCCUAGUUUUGAAAAUAUAUAUGAAGAGGUCCAAAGAAUUUUUCUAUUCUAGUCAAAAACCCAAAUUUUGAUCUUAAUUAGGGAGACCCCCCUAGACAUAGUAAUGUGACCCUUUUACCCUUAAUGGGCAGUUUGUUUUUAGAAUAAGUCACGAUAUGCUCAUUUGGUUCUCUCUUCUCACCCAAACCCUAACCAUUCUCUCCAACCAUACCCCUUCCGCCGCUCCCCCUUCCGUCGCAGAGCUCAGAGCCUCCUUCCUCAUAGCCUCCAGCGCCGCUCCCGACGGGGCUUCCGUCGUUGCCGCCGCCGAAGUCUCUCCUGCCGCCCUCGUCGCGGUUGUGCUUCUGGCCGUUCAUGUUCUCGUCGGUUGCUUGUUCUCUCGCCAUUUACUUCUUGCAGGCCUGCCCCACUGCUACUGCUGUUUAAAAAUUAAGAGAAGAACAUAUGGAAAUUGCUAUGGCGAGCGAAUAGAGAGACAGAAACAGGGGAGGCAAAAUUGAGCUGGGAUGAUUACAAGAAAAUGGACUUCACACAAUGUGUUUCGACACAGUGCUGUAACUAUGGUGGAAACACUUUUUGAAGAUAUAUUUCGAGUUGACGAGCUAGACCCUGAUGGCAAAAAGUUUGAUAGGGUUUCGACACAUGUAGUAAUAUAUAGUAACAUAUAGUAACAUUUAGUAACAUUUGCAUGUGACUGUGUAUUUCACUAUAUAUGACUAUACUUUUAUAGAUAGUCACAUGUAGUCAUAUACAUGUAGUCAUAUAUAGUCACAUGUAGUCAUAUACAUGUAGUUAUAUUUAGUCACAUGUAGUCACAUGUAGUCAUAUAUAGUCACAUAUUGUCAUAUAGAUAUAGUCAUAUAUAUUCACAUGUAGUUAUAUAUAGUCAUAUAUAAGUUAUAUAUGUGGUGAUUCUGAUGUAUAGUGAUGUUGAUGAUUGCGUUUUUUCAAUUUUUUGUUGGGUGCGAAUUGAUUUAUAAUAUCAUUAUUCAAAUUUUGAAUUU